rnacentral:rRNA from 1 species
UUAUCCUACGGGGGGCAGCAGUGAGGAAUAUUGGUCAAUGGCCGCAGGGCUGAACCAGCCAAGUCGCGUGAGGGAUGACGGUCCUAUGGAUUGUAAACCUCUUUUGUCAGGGAGCAAAGGGCGCCACGUGUGGCGUUUUGCGAGUACCUGAAGAAAAAGCAUCGGCUAACUCCGUGCCAGUAGCCGCGGUAAUACGGAGGAUGCGAGCGUUAUCCGGAUUUAUUGGGUUUAAAGGGAGCGUAGACGGCUGCGCAAGUCUGAAGUGAAAGCCCGGGGCUCAACCCCGGGACUGCUUUGGAAACUGG